UACGAAGGGGGCUAGCGUUGUUCGGAAUCACUGGGCGUAAAGCGCACGCAGGCGGAUCGAUAAGUCGGGGGUGAAAGCCCGGGGCUCAACCUCGGAAUUGCCUUCGAUACUGUCUGUCUCGAGGCCGGGAGAGGUGAGUGGAAUUCCUAGUGUAGAGGUGAAAUUCGUAGAGAUUAGGAAGAACACCAGUGGCGAAGGCGGCACUCUGGCCCGGUACUGACGCUCAGGUGCGAAAGAGUGGGGAGCAAACAGG
rnacentral:rRNA from 1 species